UCUAGCUCCUCCAUUGGGGGCCCUGUGUUCCAUCCUAUAGAUGACUGUGAGCAUCCACUUCUGUAUUUGGCAGGCACUGGCAAAGAAAGGCAUUUCUUGUUACAGUGUGAUAGGCCUUGCUUUUCAGUGACAAUCCAAACAUAUUGUCCUGUUUCCCCUCCACGUUUCUCUCCCUCCCUGUGAUGAAUUCCUCUUCCAUCCAUCUGCAUAAGCUUUGAAGCACACAUCUUUUGGGUGAGAAGGGAAUGCGAUCAUUUCAAUAUCCAGUAGAGAGGGCAGUAGGUUUUGAACUACACUGUCCAUUGCCAAGAAAUCUGGGGUGAUGUGAAGAUCCCCCCUCUGAUUAUUACAGAGUUGUCAGCUUCCCUAAUCAUAGGUCUCAAAUGAGCUCCCAAAGGACACCAGAGGCUCUAAAAUUCUGUGUGGACCUUGAUAGUGACCCAUGUUCUAGUUCAAGCCUCAGAGAUUCUAAAUCUGUGUACCCAAGAUGGAACGCCAGUCUGUCCCUCAAUUUGUUGUUCCCUUUAAAUCAAAUUCAAGCUGACCCCCAUGAGAUUAAAAAAGGAAAACCCUACCUUCAUUUUCUGUAUUCACAGGGAUAUACAUACAUGUGUUCAGGUGUACAUACCUGUGUGGGUGAGUUUUUAAUGUGUGUGUAGGGGCCAGAAGGCAACCAUGCUGACACUCCUUAGGCAAUGUCUACAUUGUUGUCAGUGGUCUAGUUUUGAGACUGAGUCUCUCAGUGGCCUGGAACUUGCCAAGUAAGUUAAGCUGGUUGGCUGGCCAGUGAUCCCCAGGAAGCUGCCUGCAUCUGCCCCCCCCCCCAACUCCCAAGCACUAGGAUAACUACAGCGUACCAUCAGACUGGGAUCGAAUGUGGGUUCUCAGGUCUGUGGCAAUUACUUUACUAAAUUAGCCAUCUUUGAAGUCCUGACUUGAUUCAUAAGGGUUUCAAGAGCAGGAUUUGAUACUUCUUAAAUAUGAUUGGGAUUUGAUAUUGAGAAACCGUUGUUUACUAUUACAACUACAGAGAAAUAACACAUUAAUGUCAGUCCCAUGAGGCUCAGCAAGAAAAGUCACUCUAUGGCCGGGAGUGAGGUGUGGAGGGGUGGGGUUGUUGUCAGAUGUUCGCAGCCUAGACUCUGAGCCUUGCCUCUGCCACUUUAGGUGAGGUCAUUGUACUGCUGGGGUUUCAGCUUCCUCAAUGGAACUGGUGAUAUUCUAACCUGUCUGUCAGGCAGUGCCAGCCUGAGGAACCCUGCUGCUCUGGAGUAGAAAGAUGAACCCUGGGGUUGACGAGAUGGUUCAGCCAAUAAAAUGCUUGCUGCACAAGCGUGGGGACCUGAGUUUGGUUCUCAGAGCCCAGAAAAAACCCCGAACGUGGUGGUAUAUACCUGCCAUCCCUUGCUGGGGAGCUCUCAGGAUCUGAACACCUGGUGCUUUCUUCAUGUUCUUCAGCUUCUGAGGGCACUGGCUUCUACAACCUUCUGGAACCAUCUUCUGGAUCUUUCUAGUUGUCUCUGAUUUUCCAAACUGAAUUAAUCACCAGCCCCCUCCGGGAACCUGAUGCAGCAGGUCACACCCUCCUCUGCGGAUUCUAAUCCAUCUGUACCCAUCAGGAAAGUCCCAUCUACCUAGAGACUUCGGGACGGAAAAUCUCCAGGAUCAGCCAUGGCAGUGGAGUAUCGUGGAGGAUCUUUCAACAAACACACAUGCAUGCUCAUGCAUGUGUGCAUAGGUAUAGGUAUACGUGAGUGCACACACACACACACACAUACACUCACACAAGCUCAUUCUUCUUGGGUGUUGUUUUGACCACAUGGGUUCUCUGAGAUCAUAGUUAACAGGAGAGGGACAAACAGCAUCAAACACAAACACCACACACAGGGACCUUGAAUCUUUAUGACAUCACAGCCGUUGAGUUCUUUCACAGAGCCCCUCUACAGAUGGAAUUCCCAUAAUGUGAACCAAUAAAGCCCCCUCCUCGUUUAUGCCAGUGUUUAGGAGGUUCUAAACAAUUUCAAACCAAAAUUUCCUAUAAACCAGA